rnacentral:rRNA from 1 species
UACGGAGGAUUCAAGCGUUAUCCGGAUUUAUUGGGUUUAAAGGGUGCGUAGGCUGUUAGUUAAGUUAGAGGUGAAAUCCCGUGGCUCAACCACGGAACUGCCUCUGAUACUGGCUAGCUAGAGAAUAGUUGCUGUGGGCGGAAUGUGUGGUGUAGCGGUGAAAUGCUUAGAGAUCACACAGAACACCGAUUGCGAAGGCAGCUCACAAAGCUAUAUCUGACGCUGAGGCACGAAAGCGUGGGGAGCAAAC